CACGAGAACUGAUGGUUUAAAAAUGUGGCACUUCCCCUUCGAUCCCUUGCUCGCUGCUGCUGCCACGUAAGAAGUGUGUUGCUUCCCCUUCGUCUUCCACCAUGAAUAACAGAAUGGCAAUUUUCGUGUGGUGUUAAUUUCCGUGGAAGAAGAAAAGGCUCGACUCUCUGUCCUAUUUUUCAUGAAUACUGGAAGUAGGGAAUAAACCUGGAGUCUCACGGGUGAAAAGAGACAUUUCCAUAUCACCAGACCACAAACGUGGGUGUUGAUUCUAAGGAUACCCCCAAUAAACAUCUUUCGUGCUAAAGCCCAUUCCAGAAUUUACUUCCCAGCUAUCUUUGAUGUUCAUAUUGUCAGAGGUGGUGGCCGCUGAAACAGGCAAAGACAUGGAGCAUAUCUUGGGUCCAGGACCUUGGGAGUCCAGAGGAAGGUCUUUUUACCAUCAGCAUUCUCUACUGUGUUCAAUGACUGUCAGCCAAAGAUGGCCAGGUUCUCUACUGUGAUGGUGAAUUUUAUGUGUCAAUUUGACUGGACCAUGGGAUGCCCAGCUUUCCUUCAGAAAGAAAUGCAUUCAAAGAACCUACAUUCACAACAUAAAGAAAUAAAGGACGUUCCACCUGUUAAGGGUAAACAUAUGAUGGAAGUAUUGCCUCCUGAGAAAGCACAGUGUUCUGAUGGACAGACUAAGUAGAGGCAUAUCUUAGAAACAUGCCCCAGACGGAACAGUAAUGGCCUGUGAAUCUGUGCUUCCACAGCCUGCACCUACAGAUCUACACACAUGCCCAUGCACAUGCAGGAAGUGUUCAUCUAAGACUGGACCUUUUAGAAGAAAGCUGGCAUACAUUCGUGAAGGCAUGGGCUUCCAGGCAUGUCAUCUUCACUCACGAAGCACACACAAGACCGCCAAGCAUUAAGAUUCUCCUGUGGAGCCAGGCUACAAUCCUUUAAAUGAAGACAGACAGCUAGGUGGCUGCAGCCCAGCGCUACACCUCACCCCUCCCUCAGUGUCAUGCAGAAAAAAUGUAUUCAGAACUCAGAAGUGAAGUUGUGCAAAUCCAUCAUUGACACUAGCUUCAAGGUUACCUCGGGGGAGCAGAAUGUACCCCUGCCAGAGAGCUGGAUAGAUGAUGAUGGGGACAGAAAUUCUGGGGGAGUUGUAAAUGGCAGCCACUGCCUCUAUAGGAAACCCAAAGGGAACACAGCAGAAGAGGAGGUGGUGGAGGAGCCACUGCCCUCUCGAAGGGUUCAAUGUCAUUCUGCAGACACAACCAAAUAACUUUUUCUUCCCUGCUGCUCCUCCAUUUGAAAUGACAGCCCCGAGCUCGCUUUUUCCUUGAUUGUGUAACUCUGAUUACAGACAAGGCCAAGGCAAUCCCAGGGCAUUACUACAAAGCUAAGGGGUCCCCAAAGAACUAAAGAGUCAGCUCCACAAAAAUCCCGAUUCCUAGCAUGAAACUGAAAUAUGAAACCAAACGGGCAUAGAAAAGGUAUGUGCAUUCGAAUCACAUAGCAGUGACUGGAGUCCUGAGCUGUGUCUGAAGACUGUGAGAUCACGUUUGGAGCUGCUGAUUGGUUUUCAGUGAUGGCCCUGUUGCACAGUGCCGUGAGACUUAGCUCCAUGGCCAAAGACGAUGGUAUCCCCUAGGAGCCCUGUGAGGUUGCUGCUGUUCUCUUAAGACACCAGGUAGCCAUCUGAUCCUCCCUGAGCAAACUAACUGGGCAGACAGGUUUAUUAAACCUCUGUUGGUCCGACUUACAUGAAACAAGAGAGUUAUUUUGUUGUUGUUGUUUUGUUUUGUUUUAAAUUAAACCUGUCUUUGGAGCCUCCUGCUC
ensembl:lncRNA LINC00922 long intergenic non-protein coding RNA 922